UUAACUGAAACCAAAAAGAGGUAUAUUAUUGUUAAUAAUAUAAGUGAAUCAAAGCAAUUCCAGUUAAA
rnacentral:tRNA from 3 species